AUGGUGCCACAGCCCCAACUUCUCAUCUUUCUGGUGCUCUGGGUAUCAGGUGCCUGUGGGGACAUUGUGAUGACCCAGUCUCCAGAUACCCUGGCUGUGUCUGUAGGAGAGAGGGUCAUCAUCAGCUGCAAAUCUAGCCAGAGUCUUUUAUACAGUUACAACAAUAAAUACCUCUUAGCCUGGUACCAACAGAAACCAGGACAGGCUCCAAAGCUACUCAUCUACUGGGCAUCCUCCCGGGUAUCUGGGGUCCCUGAUCGAUUCAGUGGCAGUGGGUCUGGGACUGAUUUCACUCUCACCAUCAGCAGCCUCCAGGCUGAAGAUGUGGCAGUUUAUUACUGUCAGCAGUAUUAUAGCAGUCCUCCCACAGUGCUUCAGCCUUGA